UACUCCUACGGGAGGCAGCAGUAGGGGAUAUUGCACAAUGGGCGGAAGCCUGAUGCAGCAACGCCGCGUGAGUGAUGAAGGCCCUCGGGUCGUAAAACUCUUUUCAAGAGGAAGAGGAAGGACGGUACUCUUGGAAUAAGCCUCGGCUAACUUCGUGCCAGCAGCCGCGGUAAUA
rnacentral:rRNA from 1 species